rnacentral:rRNA from 1 species
GAUGAACGCUAGCGGCAGGCCUAAUACAUGCAAGUCGAACGGGAUUAAGAGGCUUGCUUCUUAUGAGAGUGGCGCACGGGUGCGUAACACGUAUGCAACCUACCUUCAACUGGGGGAUAGCCUUCCGAAAGGGAGAUUAAUACCGCAUAAUAUAAUUGAGUGGCAUCACUUGAUUAUCAAACGUCAGGGUUGAAGAUGGGCAUGCGUCCGAUUAGUUUGUUGGUGAGGUAACGGCUCACCAAGACUACGAUCGGUAGGGGAUCUGAGAGGAUGGCCCCCCACACUGGUACUGAGACACGGACCAGACUCCUACGGGAGGCAGCAGUAAGGAAUAUUGGUCAAUGGACGGAAGUCUGAACCAGCCAUGCCGCGUGCAGGAAGACGGUCCUCUGGAUUGUAAACUGCUUUUGUUAGGGAAGAAACUUCCGUACGUGUACGGGACUGACGGUACCUAAAGAAUAAGGAUCGGCUAACUUCGUGCCAGCCGCCGCGGUAAUAC